UUUUGUAAGGAUCCAAUCAGAUUGCAUUAGUCGAUGACGUUUGUGGCACAGUUUAAACUGACCAAUGGGCACGAGUAGAAUAUUUGUUUAAAAUACUUAAUCUAUAAUAAAUAGCUGAAACGCCUUCAGUAAAGUCUUUACAUUUGUUUGAAGCUUGCUUUAUUUUAUUAUUUUUUUAAAAGAAAAAGGAAUCAAUAUAAAAGAUGCUUAAAAUAUUUGUAUUAUUAUUGGCAAUCGCCUACGUAAAUGCGCAUCUUUCAAUAGCUAUGCCUUGUGAAAAUACAGACUUAUUUUCAAAAGAUGCAGAAAUAUCAGUGACUAAAUGUACUGGAGAAACUAAACAGUGCAAGUUAUGCAAAUCAGAAAUUUAUACAG